GGGCACAUGGGAGCACCCUCAGCUCCCUCUCCAUGGGAUACCCUGUGGGGCACUUCAGAGUCCCCACCAGCAAGAAGGCUCUCUCUCACCAGAUGUGCCCCCCGCCAACCUUGGAUGUCUCAGUCUCCAGAACUCAGAUGAGCCAGCUCCCUUGUGAAGCUGUAAGAACAUGGUACUUACAGGAGUAAGGCUCAUGAAGUGGAGAGAUGAGAAGACUUUCGGGACAGAUUGUGUGGAGGCUGUCAUUCUCCUCGUGACAUUGCUGUGGGAGAAGAAGGAGGCAUUCCAUGUUGGCUUCAGUGAAGAACUUCAGUAUUUUCCAGAGAGAAGUACUGAGAAGCUUAAAGUAUUUGAAUGGGAGGAGGAGAAGCAAACUACAGCUACUUCAGAGGAUAACACUAAACACCUAGUCCACUCUGUAUACACUAGAGGUGCUGUUAAUUUUCUUGUGGAGAAGGAACUGUCUUUAGAAAAAUAUCUCAAAAAGCCACUGAAGUAGAAAGUUUCAGCAUGCUGAAGAUGGAACUUGAGAAGAUAGAAAGUUCUGGGUCCUUAGUGGCAUGACUGAGUCGCUGGACCACUGUUGGAACCACCCUAUGUCUUAGUUUUUAAAUCUCUUUACUGUCUAAGACAUUUUUAGUGGAAGUAUUUAUCUCUGGCAUCCAAUAAGACCUUUAAGGAUUUGCA